UGGGCAAUGCGCAUGCGGGAGGCACGAGCCCAUUCUCCCGUGACGGUGACUCCAACGGUUGGCUGAGGACGAUUCCCUGAGCCUUGACAAAGCAGGAGCCCUCCGUGGCGGUGCGUCGGUGUCGAGGCUCCAGUCUGACUAAUCCAGGGGGUCGACAAAACAGAUUCGGGACACUAUGCUACACGGAGGGCCUACCAGGAUGCAGAAACAGCAGACGGAGUCCAGGGAAAGCAGUGCGGCAUCCCAGCCUCAGGCCUGCCCGUACGGUGUUCGGAUAGCAAGACAAAUCUCUCCUCUGCCUUCUCCUUAUCAGACUACUCAACAUGAAGGCAAUAAGAAUGAAGACCUCUAUGUAUAAUAAUUGACUUCCACUUAAUAAAUACCUGAACAGAUGUUGAGUACAAGCUGAUCCACCUACGUUCAACCUGAGAGAGUCCACAUCCACAGACUGUUUCAUUUCCCUUUUUCAAUUUACAUAGAAGCAUAGAUUCUUGCUGGCAUAUACAAAUGCGCCAUUUAAGGCAAUCAAAAAUGGUUCCACAUCUCAUCUGAUUUCCACAAUUGUUGCUGUAACGAUGGACUACUGAGGAGAGAGACAAUUUCUCUGGCACAUCUUCCCACAUUUUAGCAACAUGUUCAUGGAGAGCCAAUAUUCAGUAAUUACAGCCCAAUUCCUCACAAUUUCACAAUUCGCUAACAAUAUGCAUUUUCACAAUGUAAAGCUGAUUUUCCUUUAACCAAAUCAAACAUGAAAAGAUAGCUGCAUGCAAUGGGCAAUCUAGAUCAUUAGAAGAUUGAUGUAAAAUUAGAGGACACUGAGACUGGAAUAGAUUGCAAACUUCAGGGAGCUCAGAAAACUUGUAAACUCUACAUUUUGAGGAAAUAUGUUGUCGAUGCUUUUGCAACUCUAUGCAGUAACUUAACAAAUAAAGCCUUAAAGUAACU
rnacentral:lncRNA from 1 species